UACAGAGGUCCCAAGCGUUGCUCGGAAUGACUGGGCGUAAAGGGCGCGUAGGCGGCUCAUACAGUCAGAUGUGAAAUUCCUGGGCUUAACCUGGGGGCUGCAUUUGAUACGUGUGGGCUUGAGUGGGGAAGAGGGUCGUGGAAUUCCCAGUGUAGAGGUGAAAUUCGUAGAUAUUGGGAAGAACACCGGUGGCGAAGGCGGCGACCUGGUCCUUGACUGACGCUGAGGCGCGAAAGCGUGGGGAGCAAACAGG
rnacentral:rRNA from 1 species